CCCCUCUCAGGAUCGCACCUGGAGAGUUUCCAGUACUCUACCAAUCUCAGCUAGGGGAGGAAAGAGUCAAGCAGAGGCAUAUCCAUUCCAUUCCUAGCUUGAGCAGUGGCUAGCAAGUGGAAGGCAAUAUGCUACAAGU
rnacentral:snoRNA from 1 species